rnacentral:rRNA from 1 species
GAUGAACGCUGGCGGCGUGCCUAAUAAAUGCAAGUCGAGCGAGCGGCGGACGGGUGAGUAAAGGCUGGGAAACUGCAUGAUGGAGGGGGAUAACUACUGGAAACGGUAGCUAAUACCCCACACCAUCAGAUGUGCCCAGAUGGGAUUAGCUAGGAGGUGGGGUAAUGGCUCAACUAGGCGACGAUCCCCAGCUGGUCUGAGAGGAUGACCAGCCACACUGGAACUGAGACACGGUGCAGACUCCUACGGGAGGCAGCAGUGGGGAAUAUUGGACAAUGGGCGCAAGCCUGAUGCAGCCAUGCCGCGUGUGUGAAGAAGGCCUUCGGGUUGUAAAGCACUUUCAGCGAGUAGGCGUUACCAGCAGAAGAAGCACCGGCUAACUUCGUGCCAGCAGCCGCGGUAAUAC